GCAAACUUGGUCAUUUAGAGGAAGUAAAAGUCGUAACAAGGUUUCCGUAGGUGAACCUGCGGAAGGAUCAUUUUCAAGAACACAAUCGUUUGAUUGAUUACUACCAACAACAAGGGGAUGGGGGAUGUGGCGUGUGGUUGCAUUUUGCGAUGCUGCUGCAAGCACAACAUACUCUGUCUCCCUUUCUGUGAUGUCUCAUUGGUAUGGAAGCGAAUCAUUCUCUUUUACUCUCGACGGAGCGCGCCUCCAGAGAGAGAAGCCAAAUAAUGAAGAACACCUUCUUGCACAUCGUGGCAGGUCGAAUAAUUUCCUACUUUUUUCCUAAACAAACAAACAAAACAAAUUAUACGACAACUUUUAACGGUGGAUCUCUUGGCUCGUGCAUCGAUGAAGAACGCAGC
rnacentral:misc_RNA from 1 species